rnacentral:rRNA from 1 species
AACGAACGCUGGCGGCAUGCCUAACACAUGCAAGUCGAACGAGAUCUUCGGGUCUAGUGGCGCACGGGUGCGUAACGCGUGGGAAUCUGCCCUUUGGUUCGGAAUAACAGUUGGAAACGACUGCUAAUACCGGAUGAUGACGAAAGUCCAAAGAUUUAUCGCCAGAGGAUGAGCCCGCGUGGGAUUAGCUAGUUGGUGUGGUAAAGGCGCACCAAGGCGACGAUCCUUAGCUGGACUGAGAGGAGGCUCAGCAACACUGGGACUGAGACACGGCCCAGACUCCUACGGGAGGCAGCAGUGGGGAAUAUUGGACAAUGGGCGAAAGCCUGAUCCAGCAAUGUCGCGUGAGUGAUGAAGGCCUUAGGGUUGUAAAGCUCUUUUACCCGGGAUGAUAAUGACAGUACCGGGAGAAUAAGCUCCGGCUAACUCCGUGCCAGCCGCCGCCGUAA